GGAAGUUUGGUUGGCCGGGCUUCUUGUUCUUCAGUCGCUAAGCUGUGUCUGACUGUGAUACCAUGAACUGCAGCACGCCAGGCUCCUCUGUCCUCCGCGAUCUCCUGGAGUUGGUUCAAUCCUCUACUGAAAGCUCAAGAGGAGAGAAUACAGAACAAGAACGGCAGAAGGUCCAUUGCAGCACCUAUUAGGCAAAUAGAAUGGGCUCUAUCCUUUCAUCCCAGAGGGAGAAGACCUGGCAGUGUUUCCCGUCUAUUUAUACACCUAGAACUCAGUCACACGGCUGCCACCAGGACUGGAAGACCAUCAGGCAUACUGUUAAC